UAUAUUUUUGUAGAAUGGAAAAUUUUGAUCCACGAGUACGUGGAUGCCAAGCCACUACAGAAUCUUGAAAUUAAGGUGUAGUAGUUUGAAUAUGUAUAUACACUUGGCAAAUAUUUUAAGAGUAUUUUUCGAAAUUGAGGUUAAGAAAACAAAUAGUUUUAAGAGUAUUUUAUUAUAUGUUGAUGGAAAUGGAAGAUGGAAAGUGAUUAAUCAGUCAAACAGUGUAGACCUAAAAUAUAGCAUAUACUACUGGCUUGGUUGUUGAAUUAUUAUUACUAUUUGCUUCCCCCACAGGCUGCAAAAUGCUAUGUUAGUUCCACAUCAUAAUGAAAAGUAGAAAGUUCCAUAGAUCUCAGAAAAUUAAGGAGAAAAGGUUGCAUCAUCCACCAUAAUUGGUUCUAUACUCUUCUAUCUUCAUCAAUUAGUCUUUCUUCUUUGCUUUCUCUGGAAGAUUAUUCAAAGAAGGUGCAUGUAUGAAAGAUAGAUCCCUCCCUCUCUCUAUAUAUGGAUUGGAGGUGGUGAUGGUGAAGUGCUAUGAAUAUUUGUUGUAUGAAGCUAACAAAACUGAGGUAUUGGCGCGCCUCAAUUUGAAUACAUGGUUACUAGGUAAUCCGUAGCCAUGUAAUUUGAUUGAGCCGCGUCAAUAUCUUAUUUUUGCACUUCUUUGUUACCAUCUCCACAUACAGUCAUACACACCCCCCAAUCUCAUCAAAACUAUGAAUUUGUAGAAGAAGGGGGAAAAUGAAAUCAAAGUUUCCAGCAUAGUGUGGAUUGUAGCUAGCUGCAGAUGAAGCAUCAUCAUGAAAGGGCAACAUACAUGGGGUAUAAAAGGUAAUAAUUACACAUAAAUCAUAUUUUCAUAUCAUCAUGUAGCCAUAUAGUAUAUCAUAUACCAAAAUCUUAGUUGGUUAGUUAUAUAUAGGUCUAUUGAUCUGAUUAGUCAAAAUAAAGCAAAAUUCGAGUUUAAUUAGUGGGAUUAAUUGGAAUUAAGAGGGAAUAAAUUAAGCAGAACAUACGGCAUAUAUAUAAAGGUUUUGAAGCUAAGGUAGAAUUCAUCAUUCAAGUGUGUAUAUAUAUAUAUAUAUAUUAGAUUAGUGUGACUUAUUAGUGACCAUAUAAAAUCCCUAGUACAGUCUGGUUUGAUUCCAUGUCUUCUGAUCUAUACCUAGAAGAUAUAGGAAUUUAAUUUUGUCAACCUCCCCCAACCUUUUUCCAAUUUUAAUUUAUGUCAUAUAUAUAAUAUAUAUCGACUUAAUUUGAAUUACACGGAUACUUAUUGAUGAUUUUGUUUUAUGUCAUAUAUAUUAUUGAUUUCCAAAACUUCAAUGACUGAGCUAAUUAGUUAAACUUUUAUAUGAUAAGGAACGUAAAUAUAAUUUCGUAGAUAUUAUUGCAUAUAUACACCAUUAUUGUGUAUAUAUAUAUACAUGAAGUAGGUAACUAGAUAUAAAUUAAAAUUGGCGUAUUAGGUCGGCCACUGUAGUUUGCACUAACCAUUAUUAUAUUAUAUACUAUCCAAUAUACCAAAAAUCAGAAAAGAAAAAAAAAAUCCUAUAAAGAUAUAUAGCUAGGCAAAAGAUAAAGAGUAGUAGAUUGAUUCUAUAUAUCAAGCUAAGGUCCUCUCUUAUAUAUCUUUAUACAUUUUAAUUCACAAAGGUAUUAAUAUAAAAAUAACUACAGUAUUAUUUAUGAAGCUAUCUAGUAUAGUAUAUAUCGUUUUAAUUAAAUUGCUCUUAUGCUGAAAUAUAGAAUUGUCAAUUUGUCAUCCUAAUACGAACAAUAAUACUACAUAAUCAGUAAAUAUUAUCAUUUUGACUAACAUUUGACUAAUAUAAUUCAUAUUCGAAGAUUUUGUACAUAAAAAACAUAUCAUUUACACUUAUAUUUAUCAAAAUUUGUACAUAAAAAUUAAUAAAAUUUAUUUAUUAAAGACAAUUUAAUAUUUAUACUAGUCAAAUAAUCAUAAAAAUUACUAAAAAUCACUGAUCUUAAAAAUUUCUCUAAUAAUAUUGUUACCACAACAAUUGUGACUGAUGAGGACUGUAAUUUAGAACUAUGAACUACACAUGUAUGAAUCAUAAAUGUUAUGUAACUUUUUUCGAUGGGGUUGGAGUAUUAGCACCAGUGAGAAGUAGCUACUGUAAAGAGUUAAGUGAGGGAAUUGAAGAAUGAAUGAAUGAUGAGAAUAUGAUAAAGACUGAUUUGCAGGAAGGGGACAUGGUAGAGUUAAUGAAGGAGGAAUCCUUCAUUUUCUUGAGAUGCUGGCUAUUAAUUCCUUCAAAGUUGAAGGUGCAAACUCAAAAUGUGGGGCCUCUUUACCCUUUGCCUUUAUGUAAUUUUUGCUUUGCAUUAAUUUCUAUUCCAUCAGUUUCAUGCAUGUAGCCAAGUAGCACCAAAGUAAGCCAUGAUUAGGCCCUAUCAUCUUUUUCUCCAUUGUGUAUGUAUAUGUAUAGCAACCUGUGUGUAUUAGUGGUAAUAAAUAAUUUAGAUCUGAAUAUUACAUUUGAUGGUCAAAAUAAUAUUGUGAUUUUUAGGUCAUUAUUUUGAUAUUGUUUAGUAAAUAUACUAU